GUCUGCUUCAUCCACUUUUCCUUUUUUACCAAAAACAUGUCUCACUUCUUCUUGUGCUUUUUUCAUUGCUGUUUGAUUCUUCAUCAACUCUGCCAUUGCCCAUUCCGUAGUUCUUGAGGAAGUGUCACUUCCAGCAGCAAACACAUCCAAAAUGGUUCCUUUGAUGCAGUCGUUGGUUAAAGGGACUUCAAGGUUUCCAUUUUCCUGAAGAUUCAAUAGAACAUCUAGAAGAUUAUCAGCUUCGUUCAGAUCCCUGUUCUUGGAUACCUCCUUGCUGGCCCAGUGCUUUUUUAUAAUUUCUUCCAGAAUCUGGUCUAAUUCUCGAUGCCAAAUCUCGAAUCUAGACUUAUCCCCAGUAAUGUACUUAAGAAAUUUGAAGGAAGGGAACAUAUCAGCCAGACUGAACCCUGCCGAUGCCUCAAUUAAGUCGUCCAUAAUUCUCAAGAGAGCAUCUUGGCUUUUGCAUUUCUUACCAAUGGAGGUUCUUGCGAUCACGGUAUUGCUUAAAGCAAAAAGCAAAUGAGUAAGGUUCACUGGUGUUUCAGCCUUUGAAUGAAGGAACCCGACAAAAUUUAAUACCUCUUCUUCCCUGACUGCUUUGAAGGAUUGCACACGUUUGGCACUAAGAAGCUCCAAUGUGCAAAUUUUUCUUAGUUGUCUCCAUUGAUCUCCAUAAACUCCAACUAAAAUGUCAUUACCAUUAUAAGCCACCAUUUUUGUUGCGAGGACAAGGGGUCUAUUAGCGAACUGCACAUCUUGGAUUUUCAUCACUUCUUUGGCUGCUUCUGGCGAAGAAAUAACCAGUGCAGGAACUUGACCGAGUUGAAUACCCAUGACAGGUCCAUAAAUUNGUCCAUAAAUUCUAGUCAAGUCUCUUAGGCGGUUAUGGGGUAGAGCAGAGCCAGCCAGCUGGUGAAGGUUACCAAAGAGAGGUAACUUCCAAGGUCCUGGAGGAGGGGUAUAGUCGUUGUAUUUCUUCCAUAUCCUGAACGCCACGAAGAUGAAAAGGAGGAAGCUUACAAGCACUGGAAAAGAGAGGAUUUGUUGGUCCAUAUUUUGGCACACGAUUG
rnacentral:misc_RNA from 1 species